rnacentral:rRNA from 1 species
UACGGGGGAGGCAGCAGUAGGGAAUCUUCGGCAAUGGGGGGCACCCUGACCGAGCACGCCGCGUGAGUGAAGAAGGUUUUCGGAUCGUAAAGCUCUGUUGUAAGUCAAGAACGGGUGUGAGAGUGGAAAGUUCACACUGUGACGGUAGCUUACCAGAAAGGGACGGCUAACUACGUGCCAGCAGCCGCGGUAAUACGUAGGUCCCGAGCGUUGUCCGGAUUUAUUGGGCGUAAAGCGAGCGCAGGCGGUUUGAUAAGUCUGAAGUUAAAGGCUGUGGCUCAACCAUAGUUCGCUUUGGAAACUGUCAAACUUGAGUGCAGAAGGGGAGAGUGGAAUUCCAUGUGUAGCGGUGAAAUGCGUAGAUAUAUGGAGGAACACCGGUGGCGAAAGCGGCUCUCUGGUCUGUAACUGACGCUGAGGCUCGAAAGCGUGGGGAGCGAACAGGAUUAGAUACCCUGGGUAGU